GGUGCUGUGGUUCAAGCGGUAGAGCGAUCGCCUUGCAUGCAUGAGGCCCUGGGUUCAAUUCCUCAGCACCA
rnacentral:tRNA from 1 species